GGCUUAAUUUGACUCAACGCGGGAAAUCUUACCGGGUCCGGACACACUGAGGAUUGACAGGUAACGUUAUACACACAUAUAUUUACUCUCGGGUAUUURUACUGCUGUGUAUAUAUAAAAUAUGCUAGUCCUUUCAUGAUUAUGUGAUAGGUGGUGCAUGGCCGUUCUUAGUUCGUGGAGUGAUCUGUCUGCUUAAUUGCGUUUCACUAAGGAUCUAUAUUCAUAUUACGCAUAGCAUUUUGACCCCUUUAUGCUUCGGUAUAAAGCUGCGCGUCAAACCUUGCUAUCUGCGUAUAUUAGAUCCUGAAAGCAACGAACGUGACCGCAACCUCUUGUUGCCUUUAACUAGGUUUUGCUUACGUAUAGCUUCGGCUUUACGCUUUGCAUCUAAAAAGGCUGAUUUUCUAAACUAGAGGGACCGCUGUUACUUUCUUAAACCAGAGGAAGGUUGCGGCAAUAACAGGU
rnacentral:rRNA from 1 species